UUCUAAAUAAAUAUUGGAAAAACCCCAACCGGGGGCCCCAAAAUUGGGUUUUAAUUUUUACCCCCCCAAAAUUAAAUUUUUAAAAUUUUAAAAAUAAAUACCCCCCCCAAAAACUUAUUUUUUUCCAAAUAAAUGAAAUUUUUCCCCAAAAAUUUUUGGGAAAAAAAGGUUAAAAAAAAAUUUUUUAAACCCAAAGAAAAUUUU
rnacentral:rRNA from 1 species